rnacentral:tRNA from 1 species
AGGGAUUUAGCUCAGUGGUUCAAGCACUUGCUUGGUAAGCAUGAGUUUGUAAGUACAAUCCCUG